rnacentral:rRNA from 1 species
GACAGAGGGUGCAAACGUUGUUCGGAAUUACUGGGCGUAAAGCGUGUGUAGGCGGCCUUGCAAGUCGGAUGUGAAAGCCCCGGGCUCAACCCGGGAAGUGCACCCGAAACUGCAAGGCUCGAGUACCGGAGAGGUUGGUGGAAUUCUCGGUGUAGAGGUGAAAUUCGUAGAUAUUCGGAAGAACACCAGUGGCGAAGGCGGCUGACUGGACAUGUAUUGACGCUGAGGUGCGAAAGCGUGGGGAGCAAACAGGA